rnacentral:rRNA from 1 species
AUUGAACGCUGGCUGCAGGCCUAACACAUGCAAGUCGAGCGAGCGGCCGACGGGUGAGUAAUGUCUGGGGAUCUGCCUGAUGGCGGGGGAUAACUACUGUAAACGGUAGCUAAUACCGCAUACCCUCCGAUGACCCCAUAUGGGAUUAGCUAGUUGGUAAGGUAACGGCUUACCGAGGCGACGAUCCCUAGCUGGUCUGAGAGGAUGAUCAGCCACACUGGGACGGAGACACGGCCCAGACUCCUACGGGAGGCAGCAGGGGGGAAUAUUGCACAAUGGGCGAAAGCCUGAUGCAGCCAUGACGCGUGUAUGAAGAAGGCCUUCGGGUUGUAAAGUACUUUCAGUCGGGAGGCGUUACCGACAGAAGAAGCACCGGCUAACUCCGUGCCAGCCGCCGCGGUAAUUC